GACGAACGCUGGCGGCGUGCCUAAUACAUGCAAGUCGAACGCAGUGGGGACGGGUGAGUUACACCUGGGUACACUCCCAUCAGAGGGGAUAACACUUGGAAACAGGUGCUCAACCGCUACGGAUGGAUGGACCAGCGGUGCAUUAGCUAGUCGGUGUGGUAACGGCUAACCAAGGCCACGAUGCCUAGCCGACCUGAGAGGGUGAUCGGCCACACUGGGACUGAGACACGGCCCAGACUCCUACGGGAGGCAGCAGUAGGGAAUCUUCGGCAAUGGACGAAAGUCUGACCGAGCAACGCCGCGUGAGUGAAGAAGGUUUUCGGAUCGUAAAACUCUGUUGUUAGGGAGGCGGUAUCUAACCAGAAAGCCACGGCUAACUACGUGCCAGCAGCCGCGGUAAUUC
rnacentral:rRNA from 1 species